rnacentral:lncRNA from 1 species
AAAAUCACAGCCUUAAACUUAUAGUCACUUGAGAUAUAUAUCUAUAAAUGGAGCCAAAUUAUAUACAUGUUUUAUGUCAAUAAAUACCACUGUUUGUGCAUGUUUUGUUUUUUUUGGAGGGCAGGGGUCUUAUUUGCACAGUGCUCAUAGUUUUUUAGUCGAUCAUUAAAAUUCAUUUAAAGCUUAAAGACCAGCUAUAAGGGCAAGAAGCUUAUCAAGCACUCAUGGUUUAGAUUUUUAUUAAACACACAUUAAUAUACAUAAUGUACAUUAAACAGAAAAAAAUAUUGAUGCAAGAUGUCAUUCAACUUUUACUCUUUUAUGUAUAGGACAAGAACUAUAGAAGAUACAGAGAAAUUAUAUACAGCAGAAAUGAUAGGCAAUGUAAAAUUUGCAGAAGCCAACUAAACCUAAAUGGUAAGGCACCUUUUAAUUUUAAAAAAGUUAUUGAACUUGAAAGAUGAUUACUAGUAUCAUGAUUACUAUAAAAAUUAAAAGAUGUGGUAUAUUAAAUAUGAAAACUAUCAUGGCUUUGAGAAAGCAAUUGUAGGCCUGUUACGACCUUCAAUAAUGAGAAAAUCCAUACCCUAUACUAUAGUCAAAGUAGGCAGCUAUAAAAGACCUAAAGAUGAAACAUUGAAACAAUCCAAACUGUAAAACUAAUCAUGGUAAUUGCCUAGUUUAUAACAAAAUAAAUUACAAAAAAUAAAUAUGACCGGUAUGAAACAACAACAACAACAACCACUAAAUUUUAGUGUCAGACUAAACUGACAAAAGCUACAGGCUCUGAACUUUGGACAGGCACAAUAGGAAUAUGGCAAGGUUAUAUAAAAAUAAGAUGUGGUAUGAUUGCCAAUAAGACAACUCUCCACCAGACAACCAAUGAUGUAAAUUUCCUGCAAACACGGACUUGACUUCUGUAAAUCAACUAAUUUUUCGUGAAUACUUUAUUUGGCAUUUUAUACUUUCUAGUCUACAUCGCAGUUAUUUAUUUUUCUCGAGUUCAAGUUUACUUAAUGUAUUUUAAUAAGGAAAGAUACACAUGAAAAACAUUUAUUGCUGUUUCUCUCUCCAUUUAUAACAUUUUAUUUGUUUAUUUUGUGUAUUUAUAGGUGAUCAGACAUCUUGGUUUUCAUGAUCAAUAGGUCAUUACUGAAGAGGAAACUUAAAGUUGAAAUUUAUUUACAUAGUGCAUAAUUGGAUUAAUUUGAAAUGGAAUGUGUGCUUUCCUGCAAAAAAGAAAUAGGAAAUUUCAACAUUAUCACAUGAUAAUGACCAUAAACAAAAUGGAGUUCUAUCAUAGAUACACAAAAACACUAUUGCAUAAAAGCAACAACAUAUCUUAAUCAAAAGAAAGGAGAAUGCUGAACAAAUACUAUUUUGUUGUUGAAAAAAGGAACACCAGUUUUAUCCACUCAUUUACAUCGCUCCCUCAUAUCAAAUAUACAGAAGAAGAUCAUUGAAGAACAAUUUGCAAAAAUGAUUUCUCUUAGAAUUGAAGGGAAUUGUUUAGUGAAUGGAAUAAUGUAUUCACUGAAUUCUUACGUAGUGGAUUGAAUAACUGUACACAAGCUGAAACAGAAGAAA